UGUGUGUUUAAUGUAUUUUUUAUUGAUUUUUUCUUUUAGAGAGGUUGUGAAAGGGAUAGAAAGAUAGAAACAUCAAUGAGAGAGAAACAUCAUCUAUUGGCUGCCUCCUACACACCCCCUACUGGGGAUCAAGCCUGAAACCCUGCAUGUGCCCUGACCAGAAAUCGAAUGUGUGACCUCUUGGUUCAUGGAUUGACACUCAACCACUGAGCCACAUGGGCCGGGCUGCAAUUCUUUUUACUUCCAUUCAGGAAAAUGUAUCAGAAUAGUAGUGGGUACAAUAAUCUUGACUGUAGUUUAAAUUAUACCCCUCCCCAAAGGGGAUAAUCAGUUGCAAACCAUUGUACUUUUAAAAAGAUUUGUGAUGCCUUUUUUUGUUUGUUUUGUGGGGUUUGUUUUUGUUAAUCCUCUCCUCACCCAAGGAUAUUUUCCAUUGAUUUUUAGAGAAGGUGGGAAGGAGGGGAAGAGACAGAGAGAGAAACAUCAGUGUGAGAGAUACAUCAAUUUGUUGUCUCCCACAUGCGCCCCUAGGGAUCAAGCCUGCAACUAAGGUACGUGCCCUUAACUCAGCGGUUCUCAACCUGUGGGUCGCAACCCCUUUGGCGGUCAAACGACCCUUUCACAGGGGUCGCCUAAGACCAUCCUGCAUAUCAGAUAUUUACAUUACGAUUCAUAACAGUAGCAACAUUAUAGUUAUGAAGUAGCAACGAAAAUAAUUUUAUGGUUGGGUUACAACAUGAGGAACUGUAUUUAAAGGGCCAGAAAGUUGAGAACCACUGUCUUAACUGGAAUCAAACCCAGGACCAUUCAGUCUGUAGGCCAAUGCUCUAUCCACUAAAUCAAACCAGCAAGGGCAAGAUUUGUGAUGCAUUUCAUAAUUAAUUUCAUCCUGACAUUGUGCCACCAGGUUACUAAGAUUGAGAAUUGCUGGUAUAGAUAGAGAAAUGUAAAUAGUAUGCCCCUUGAACCAUCUAUUUUUUUGCAAUUUAACCAUGUUCAACUCAUCUACAUGUUUGAGACAAGUGAGGAAAAUAAGUAGUGCCAAAAUCUGGAGCAAUAUAAAAUAGGGACUUGCCAUAUUUGUUGAAGCAGAGAGUGGAUGAAAUUCUAAAGCAAUGGUUUUCAGACUUUUAAAGUGGCAAUUGCUCGGUGUUCAAAAUAAAUUUCACUGAGUAACAAUUUUUAAUUUUGUCAAGUACGUUUUUAAAAAUCAUGUCAUCAUUACAAAAAAAAAGAAUUUUGACACAAUGAAAAUAGAACAAAAAUCUCAGAAAACAGAAGUUUUGCUAUGAGUUAGUGAAAAACAUUAUACACCAGCCAUUAGCCUGCAGACGAAAGCAUCAUCAUAAUUCAUUUCUAACUUUUAGAAAAUACUCAGCAUUCCUAUUUUUUCAUGCUCCUUUUCCUUUAUUACACCUGACUUUAUCAGCAGACUUUGAGUAUAAAGCUAUAAAUAUUAUAGAUGUCAGUUCACCAAAAAUUUAAGGACCAGUACUUUCCAGAAUAGAGAAUUAAAAAAUUGACUAAGGAUUACAUACAGAACCUAUUUACCUUGUGUGUUAAGUAGCUAAUUGCAAAAUAAAAUGUCAUUUGAAAUUUUUACAGUAUCCCUUUUGUGAUAGCUUUGAUGUUAUACAAAUAUUAGGUCUUACUCCCUAUGUUGAUCUUUUCAGCGUGAAUUGGGCACUGCCCUGCCUUUCUUUAUACUUUGCCAUUGUUUAAAAUAGCAAAACCAGCUAAGAGAGCAGUUGGCCAUUUAAGUAGAUCUACUUUUGCUGCCAACAUAUAUCUUUUGCCACUCUAAUAAGUGAUAAUACUUCCAUUUUGAGUAUUGUCUAGUCCAGUGAUGGCGAACCUUUUGAUCUUGGCAUGUCAGCAUUUUGAAAAACCCUAACUUAACUCUGGUGCCGUAUCACAUAUAGAAAUUUUUUGAUAUUUGCAAACAUAGUAAAACAAAGAUUUAUAUUUUUGAUAUUUAUUUUAUAUAUUUAAAUGCCAUUUAACAAAGAAAAACCAACCAGAAAAAAUGAGUUCGCGUUUCACCUCUGACAUGCGUGUCAUAGGUUCGCCAUCACUGGUCUAGUCUUAGGAAUAUUCAUUCAUGUUAAGAAGCUAACGGUAAAGGAUGAGCUUAAUUAUGGAAGUCAUUUUUGUGUGUUUUCUUUGAUGACCAGCUUUAAAUUUUGUGAUAUUUUAAGUUCUAUGAAUUUGAGAACAAAUUACUCUUGGUCUUAGAACUACUUUAGCAUGUGCUUUUAGGACCCUGGUCUCCAAAGUGGAGUAUACAGGAAGAUCCAUUGGGAUGAAGGAAAAAAAUAUAUACGACUUUCUAGGUGUACUUAGUUUUAUAUUGGAAAAGCAAAGUAAGCUUUACUCAUCUUAUAUGUGACUAGUCAUCGAAACCCUCAUUUGGGAUGUUAGAUGGGGCAGUAAGACACUAUAUGGCAGGGAUUCCGAGAAGAAUAGGGAGUUACAGUUGAAAAAGUACUUAUUGGUUCUUUGCUUAUAGCAUAUUCUGACAGAUUGCAACAUAUGUGUGCUCAAUUCCAUGGGUUAAUUGAUUAUAUUACCCAGUUUAAACUUUUAGUAAACAGUCUACCCAGAAGCUACAGAUUGCAGAUGAUAAUAAUGCAAGUAAACAACUAGAAAAAGAGUAGGCAUUAGUAUUUAUUUCUACAAGAACCCUAUCAGUCUCAUCAUCAUGAGGUUAAGGUGAUUUAAACAAGGGGUGGGGAACCUUUUUUCUUCCAGGGCCAUUUGGAUAUAACAACAUUCGAGGGCCAUACAAAAUUAUCAACUUAAAAAUUAGCCUGCUAUAUAUGAUCAAACAUUUAAUUAAUUCACCCCUAAUGCUUUGGCAGGACCAGACCAAAUGAUUUCAAGGGUCUUAUAUGGCCCAUGGGCUGGAUGUUGCCCAACCCUGAUUUAAACAGAUCUAAUUAGACAUUGGCUCCCCAAAAUUGAAAUCAUCAAGGAAGAUUUUUGAAAUAGGAAUAUAAUUCUACUUUGCUUAAGAUGAAGGCAACAACUUCAUAGAAUAUACCAGAAUUUAUGUUAGGGUAAUUUACUAGGGGAAGGUUGGGCCAAAGUGAACAGAUGGCCCAGCAGUUUUGCACAAAUUAUUCUUCACUACCAAACCCUAUACAGUACUUUUUUUAUAGUAUAAUUCGUGUUCUCGUGAUUGAAAAGACAAAGGGGCCAUGCCUCCUGGUAGCCUUGUGAUAGAUGGUUGCUUAAACUCAAUACUGUUACCAAUUUGAUAUUUAUCUCAUUUGUCAUGCGAUUCUGGCUGUUGCUCACAAAAAUAUUAUGGCUACAUUUUAAGGAACACAGAUAAUCAUCAACUAGAAGGCUUUGAUAUGCUGCUUGUUAAGAACAAUGACGUUAGUCAGAGGUCACAGCAUGAAACUUAAAAAGGAAAUGAAAUCCAGGACACAGAUAUGGAGUUGGUUUUGUUCACAUCUAUAUCUAUACAGUCAUUCUCUCUCAGAAGUUCGUUCUUUAUUUAUUUAUUUAUGUUAUGCAUACAUACACAUAUAUAUUUAGCAUGAAACACUGACAGAUUAUAGUGUAAAUUUUUUGUAAUACCUAUAUUGUGUGUAUGAGAUGGAGAAAAGACAAAAUGUGAGAUUAUAAAAGAAGCCAAUAGGAAAAGAUUUACUUCAUAAACAGAUUUUUCUAAUCACUUCUAAUGUUUUAAGUGACAUCUAUUUCAAAUAAUGUUGAAGGUUUUUGGUUAAGGGUAGUUUGCUUCAUGCUGUAUCUGUGCCCCUGCCUAUGUCUGAUGGUCUACAGACUUCCUCAGGAAUAGGUUUUUUUUCUUCUUCAUCUUUGUAUUAUCAGUAUCUAUCAUGAGUCAUUCAAAUGAAGCAAACUAAAGAUUAUAUUGAAAAUACAAUGGCCCUAGUUGGUUUGGCUCAGCGGAUAGAACGUCGGCCUACAGACCAAAGGGUCCCAGGUUCGAUUCUGGUCAAGGGCACAUACUUUGAUUUCAGGCUCCCCCCUGACCCCCUAAGUCAGAGCACAUGCAGGAAGCAACCAAUCGAUGUGUUUCUCUCACAUUGAUAUUUCUCUCUGUCUUUCCUUCUCUCU